AGAAUGAAUAAAGGAAUAAAGGAUGAAAACAUAUCCCAAUUUGCAUGUUCCAAACCCAGAGCUUUUCCUGAACUUCCAUUACUGCCUAAAAAUAUUGUUGAAUCUGAUCUUUACAAGACUGUAAACAAACAUGGCAUGUAUCCUCCUAUAUUAAAAAAAAAAUCAUGGAACAGAGCAGUCCCAUAUAAAGAAAUGUCGUAUUAUCGGACACCAAGUGAAUCUAUUGCAAAUAAUUAUACUCCAACCGUUCAGAAUCUUAAAAUCAAAGAAUUGCAUAAACUUGAUGCUAAUAAUAAUUAUAUAUCAGA
rnacentral:lncRNA from 1 species